rnacentral:lncRNA from 1 species
ACAGGUCCCGAAGUUGAAAGGAGCAACCGAUUGAGAAAAUUGAAAAAAAGUUGGGCCAAAGGCCCACUCUUAAUUCAUAAUAGUUGUAGUUUGUUAUUUUGGGCCUAAGCCCUUGUCAUUUUAAUUGUUAUUGUUGUAUUAGUUUAGGACAGGUGGAAGAAUUGGGACUGAGGUCCAAAAGAUAGAAAAUACUUCUAUUGUGCUAGAAUAGGACAGGCACAAAUGACUUA